CUGUUAGAGAGAUGAGUAAAAAAAGGGACAAGAACAGAAAACAGAUCAAGCAUGCAUAAUCUAUGGAAGAGGACAUCCAUCUUAUUCAAGGGAUGCUCAGAAUAGCUCUCAGCAGAACUGGAGGCUGAAGAACAAUACACCUUGAAUCAUGAGAUUUUGGAUUCUCUGAGUCAGCCCUAGAGUGCCAGGUUCAGUGAUGACCCAGAUUCAAAUCUCACCUAUACUGCUGAUUAUCUGUGUGGUAUCAGAAUUGUCUACACGAGCAAUCAUGAGGCAGCUUGAUAGGAGGACUGUGGUCUAUUGUCCUCAGGCUGUAUGGAAACUGUGUCACAACAUCUGGGAAGAAGAUGGACAUUUAAUGAAACAAAUGAAUUCCAUUUGUUUCUGAAGAAAAAACCAGAACUAAACAAAAAAUUUGAUCUCCAAGAAUAGAACUCAAGAGAUGCAGAAAAGGAUGAUUUCAGAAAGGCCUGGAGAGACUUACAUGAACUGAUGCUGAAUGAAAUGAGCAGAACCAGGAGAUCAUUAUAUGCUUCAAUAACAAUACUAUAUAAUGACCAGUUCUGAUGGACCUGGCCAUCCUCAGCAAUGAGAUCAACCAAAUCAUUUCCAAUGGAGCAGUAAUGAACUGAACCAGCUACGCCCAGAGAAAGAACUCUGGGAGAUGACUAAAAACCAUUACAUUGAAUUCCCAAUCCCUAUAUUUAUGCCCACCUGCAUUUUUGAUUUCCUUCACAAGCUAAUUGUACAAUAUUUCAGAGUCUGAUUCUUUUUGUACAGCAAAAUAACGGUUUGGUCAUGUAUACUUAUUGUGUAUCUAAUUUAUAUUUUAAUAUAUUUAAUAUCUACUGGUCAUCCUGCUAUCUGGGGGAGGGGGUGGGGGGUAAGAGGUGAAAAAUUGGAACAAGAGGUUUGGCAAUUGUUAAUGCUGUAAAGUUACCC
rnacentral:lncRNA from 1 species